GGGUUGUGAGGUUAAGCGACUAAGCGUACACGGUGGAUGCCCUGGCAGUCAGAGGCGAUGAAGGACGUGCUAAUCUGCGAUAAGCGUCGGUAAGGUGAUAUGAACCGUUAUAACCGGCGAUUUCCGAAUGGGGAAACCCAGUGUGUUUCGACACACUAUCAUUAACUGAAUCCAUAGGUUAAUGAGGCGAACCGGGGGAACUGAAACAUCUAAGUACCCCGAGGAAAAGAAAUCAACCGAGAUUCCCCCAGUAGCGGCGAGCGAACGGGGAGCAGCCCAGAGCCUGAAUCAGUGUGUGUGUUAGUGGAAGCGUCUGGAAAGGCGCGCGAUACAGGGUGACAGCCCCGUACACAAAAAUGCACAUACUGUGAGCUCGAUGAGUAGGGCGGGACACGUGGUAUCCUGUCUGAAUAUGGGGGGACCAUCCUCCAAGGCUAAAUACUCCUGACUGACCGAUAGUGAACCAGUACCGUGAGGGAAAGGCGAAAAGAACCCCGGCGAGGGGAGUGAAAAAGAACCUGAAACCGUGUACGUACAAGCAGUGGGAGCCUCUUAAUGGGGUGACUGCGUACCUUUUGUAUAAUGGGUCAGCGACUUAUAUUCUGUAGCAAGGUUAACCGAAUAGGGGAGCCGAAGGGAAACCGAGUCUUAACUGGGCGUUAAGUUGCAGGGUAUAGACCCGAAACCCGGUGAUCUAGCCAUGGGCAGGUUGAAGGUUGGGUAACACUAACUGGAGGACCGAACCGACUAAUGUUGAAAAAUUAGCGGAUGACUUGUGGCUGGGGGUGAAAGGCCAAUCAAACCGGGAGAUAGCUGGUUCUCCCCGAAAGCUAUUUAGGUAGCGCCUCGUGAAUUCAUCUCCGGGGGUAGAGCACUGUUUCGGCAAGGGGGUCAUCCCGACUUACCAACCCGAUGCAAACUGCGAAUACCGGAGAAUGUUAUCACGGGAGACACACGGCGGGUGCUAACGUCCGUCGUGAAGAGGGAAACAACCCAGACCGCCAGCUAAGGUCCCAAAGUCAUGGUUAAGUGGGAAACGAUGUGGGAAGGCCCAGACAGCCAGGAUGUUGGCUUAGAAGCAGCCAUCAUUUAAAGAAAGCGUAAUAGCUCACUGGUCGAGUCGGCCUGCGCGGAAGAUGUAACGGGGCUAAACCAUGCACCGAAGCUGCGGCAGCGACACUAUGUGUUGUUGGGUAGGGGAGCGUUCUGUAAGCCUGUGAAGGUGUACUGUGAGGUAUGCUGGAGGUAUCAGAAGUGCGAAUGCUGACAUAAGUAACGAUAAAGCGGGUGAAAAGCCCGCUCGCCGGAAGACCAAGGGUUCCUGUCCAACGUUAAUCGGGGCAGGGUGAGUCGACCCCUAAGGCGAGGCCGAAAGGCGUAGUCGAUGGGAAACAGGUUAAUAUUCCUGUACUUGGUGUUACUGCGAAGGGGGGACGGAGAAGGCUAUGUUGGCCGGGCGACGGUUGUCCCGGUUUAAGCGUGUAGGCUGGUUUUCCAGGCAAAUCCGGAAAACUAAGGCUGAGGCGUGAUGACGAGGCACUACGGUGCUGAAGCAACAAAUGCCCUGCUUCCAGGAAAAGCCUCUAAGCAUCAGGUAACAUCAAAUCGUACCCCAAACCGACACAGGUGGUCAGGUAGAGAAUACCAAGGCGCUUGAGAGAACUCGGGUGAAGGAACUAGGCAAAAUGGUGCCGUAACUUCGGGAGAAGGCACGCUGAUAUGUAGGUGAAGUCCCUCGCGGAUGGAGCUGAAAUCAGUCGAAGAUACCAGCUGGCUGCAACUGUUUAUUAAAAACACAGCACUGUGCAAACACGAAAGUGGACGUAUACGGUGUGACGCCUGCCCGGUGCCGGAAGGUUAAUUGAUGGGGUUAGCGGUAACGCGAAGCUCUUGAUCGAAGCCCCGGUAAACGGCGGCCGUAACUAUAACGGUCCUAAGGUAGCGAAAUUCCUUGUCGGGUAAGUUCCGACCUGCACGAAUGGCGUAAUGAUGGCCAGGCUGUCUCCACCCGAGACUCAGUGAAAUUGAACUCGCUGUGAAGAUGCAGUGUACCCGCGGCAAGACGGAAAGACCCCGUGAACCUUUACUAUAGCUUGACACUGAACAUUGAGCCUUGAUGUGUAGGAUAGGUGGGAGGCUUUGAAGUGUGGACGCCAGUCUGCAUGGAGCCGGCCUUGAAAUACCACCCUUUAAUGUUUGAUGUUCUAACGUUGGCCCCUGAUCGGGGUUGCGGACAGUGUCUGGUGGGUAGUUUGACUGGGGCGGUCUCCUCCUAAAGAGUAACGGAGGAGCACGAAGGUUGGCUAAUCCUGGUCGGACAUCAGGAGGUUAGUGCAAUGGCAUAAGCCAGCUUGACUGCGAGCGUGACGGCGCGAGCAGGUGCGAAAGCAGGUCAUAGUGAUCCGGUGGUUCUGAAUGGAAGGGCCAUCGCUCAACGGAUAAAAGGUACUCCGGGGAUAACAGGCUGAUACCGCCCAAGAGUUCAUAUCGACGGCGGUGUUUGGCACCUCGAUGUCGGCUCAUCACAUCCUGGGGCUGAAGUAGGUCCCAAGGGUAUGGCUGUUCGCCAUUUAAAGUGGUACGCGAGCUGGGUUUAGAACGUCGUGAGACAGUUCGGUCCCUAUCUGCCGUGGGCGCUGGAGAACUGAGGGGGGCUGCUCCUAGUACGAGAGGACCGGAGUGGACGCAUCACUGGUGUUCGGGUUGUCAUGCCAAUGGCACUGCCCGGUAGCUAAAUGCGGAAGAGAUAAGUGCUGAAAGCAUCUAAGCACGAAACUUGCCCCGAGAUGAGUUCUCCCUGACUCCUUGAGAGUCCUGAAGGAACGUUGAAGACGACGACGUUGAUAGGCCGGGUGUGUAAGCGCAGCGAUGCGUUGAGCUAACCGGUACUAAUGAACCGUGAGGCUUAACCUUACAACGCCGAAG
rnacentral:rRNA from 1 species